rnacentral:rRNA from 1 species
CCUACGGGAGGCAGCAGUGGGGAAUAUUGCACAAUGGGCGAAAGCCUGAUGCAGCGACGCCGCGUGAGGGAUGACGGCCUUCGGGUUGUAAACCUCUUUCAGCAGGGAAGAAGCGAAAGUGACGGUACCUGCAGAAGAAGCGCCGGCUAACUACGUGCCAGCAGCCGCGGUAAUACGUAGGGCGCAAGCGUUGUCCGGAAUUAUUGGGCGUAAAGAGCUCGUAGGCGGUCUGUCGCGUCGGAUGUGAAAGCCCGGGGCUUAACCCCGGGUCUGCAUUCGAUACGGGCAGACUAGAGUGUGGUAGGGGAGAUCGGAAUUCCUGGUGUAGCGGUGAAAUGCGCAGAUAUCAGGAGGAACACCGGUGGCGAAGGCGGAUCUCUGGGCCAUUACUGACGCUGAGGAGCGAAAGCGUGGGGAGCGAACAGGAUUAGAUACCCUGGUAGUCCACGCCGUAAACGGUGGGAACUAGGUGUUGGCGACAUUCCACGUCGUCGGUGCGCNGCUACGACAUAGUUCCCGUCCCGUCGGGAGGUACGGCCGGCCGACGGACGUAAACCGUUAAACGUUAGUAAGUUAGUACGGUUCGUUGUAGACGUUGCCGACGGACGACGACGAGGGAGGAGG